ensembl:lncRNA
GGUAAUCAAUUAAAAGUCAUUUCUCGGUCCAGCAUGUUGUACAGUGCGUUCCCAGGCAAGUUUCUUGGGGAGGCAGAGAGCAUAAAAUCUUUAUGAGUAGUUCAACUUACAGGUACCUUAAUGUGUUUGUGGUUUAAGGAGGAAGAGAUGGAGACUAUGAAGACUCUGCUGAAGGUUUAUCUGCUGCUGCUGAUCGGACUUCCCUUCACUCUGCAACAAACAGUGGAUGCAAGGGAGGAAGCCCUAAUGUUCGCACUUGGAUGGGAGAGACUGGCCUGUGAUCUGAACCGGAAAGCUAGAGGAAAAUGGAUCUACCUGUGGGUGAAGAGGGAGAGACCAACCUACAUCUGUGACAUCGCUGCCAAUGCUGACUAUGAUGGAGACGCUGACUACUUCCGGAACGGCUACAUCAGAGUGGACGAAGAUACCAACAGAGGUGCAGAAGGAUCCUUUGUCUUCAUCUGGUACCGUCAGACCAAUAACUCUCAAAGAGCCAUCACAGAUCUGCAGCUCUCCACUAACGAUAUAGAGAAGAUGUUGUUUCCCUAUAUGGGCUUUACAAGGGUAACUACUGAUCUAAGCAAGGGGGCAGGAGGAAGUUACGUGUACCUGUGGUACAAGAAAGGCUCCGGUCAUCCCAUUCGGGCGGUCUCUGUGAUCGUCAACACAGCAGCUGUGGAGGCGUACAGCAUUCCCUGGGUCUUCAUUAGACAAAAAAACCUCAACAGUGGGAACAACGGUAAUACACUGUACCUGACCUUCAGUUCGUUUUAGUAACAGAGCUGGGAAUGCUCACUGGGCAGAAACCAAAGAGUCUAUGGUGUUCCUGUUUAACCAGUUUGAUUGUUUUUCUUUCCUUGCUGAAAUGAUUUGACUCCAACAAUGAUCAUUGAUCCUACAGUCAAUCUGUUCGAUUAGCUCUGUCUCACUGUAUUCUGAUGAUUGUCACUGUUUCAAUAAAGUCUGUUCAGA